rnacentral:rRNA from 1 species
CCGUGCUAAGGUAGCAUAAUCCCUUGCCUCUUAAUUAGUGGCUUGCAUGAAUGGAUAAACGAAAGUUAAAUUGUCUCCAUAAUUAAAAUAAAAAUUAUCCUCUAAGUGAAGAGCCUUAGAUAAAAAUAAAAGACAAGAAGACCCUGCAGAGCCUUAGUUCAAAAUAAAAUAAAAAAAUACUAUUAAACUACCCUCUUUAUUCACACUCCAGUUGGGGCGACUCAGGAAAACCAAAAUCUUCCUUCUUUACACCCAGACCCAUCCGUCUUAUAAAAGACCCAUAACCCAUGACUAAUAAAAAGGCUACCUCAGGGAUAACAGUCUUAUCUUUCUCAAGAGUUCACAUUGACAGAAAGGAUUGGCACCUCGAUGUUGGCUUAGGAAGUAAUCAGGGCGCAGCCACCCUAAUUAAAGGUUUGUUCAACCUAUAGUAUCCUACGUGAUC